rnacentral:rRNA from 1 species
UGUAUCUUUUAAAAGACCUAGUUAAUAGGUAUGCUUUAGGAGGGGCUUGCGCCAUAUUAGUUAGUUGGUAGGGUAAUGGCCUACCAAGACGAUGAUGUGUAGCUGGACUGAGAGGUUGAACAGCCACAUUGGGACUGAGACACGGCCCAAACUCCUACGGGAGGCAGCAGUAGGGAAUUUUCGGCAAUGGAGGAAACUCUGACCGAGCAACGCCGCGUGAAUGACGAAGUACUUCGGUAUGUAAAGUUCUUUUAUCGAGGAAGAAAAGCAAAUGGCGAACCAUUUGUUUGCCGGUACUUGAUGAAUAAGCCCCGGCUAAUUAUGUGCCAGCAGCCGCGGUAAGACAUAAGGGGCAAGUGUUAUCCGGAAUUAUUGGGCGUAAAGGGUGCGUAGGCGGUCUAGUAAGUCAGUGGUGUAAUGUCAACGCUUAACGUUGUCCGGCUAUUGAAACUGCUAAACUUGAGUUAGAUAGAGGCGAGUGGAAUUCCAUGUGUAGCGGUAAAAUGCGUAAAUAUAUGGAGGAACACCAGAGGCGUAGGCGGCUCGCUGGGUCUUAACUGACGCUGAGGCACGAAAGCGUGGGGAGCAAACAGGAUUAGAUACCCUGGUAGUCCACGCCGUAAACGAUGAGUACUAAGUGUCGGGUUAAACCGGUACUGAAGUUAACACAUUAAGUACUCCGCCUGAGUAGUACGUACGCAAGUAUGAAACUUAAAGGAAUUGACGGGACUCCGCACAAGCGGUGGAUCAUGUUGUUUAAUUCGAAGAUACCCGAAAAACCUUACCAGGUCUUGACAUGUUUUUGCAAAAUGAUAGUAAUAUCGUGGAGGUUACCAGAAACACAGGUGGUGCAUGGUUGUCGUCAGCUCGUGUCGUGAGAUGUUAGGUUAAGUCCUAAAACGAGCGAAACCCUUAUCGUUAGUUGCCAGCACGUUAUGGUGGGGACUUUAACGAGACUGCCAAUGAUAAAUUGGAGGAAGGUGAGGAUCACGUCAAAUCAGCAUGCCCCUUAUGACCUGGGCUACAAACGUGAUACAAUGGCUGUUACAAAGGGUAGCUGAAACGCAAGUUCUUGGCCAAUCCCCAAAAACAGUCCCAGUCCGGAUUGAAGUCUGCAACUCGACUUCAUGAAGUUGGAAUCGCUAGUAAUCGCGAAUCAGCA